rnacentral:rRNA from 1 species
GACAGAGGGGGCAAGCGUUGCUCGGAAUUACUGGGCGUAAAGGGCGCGUAGGCGGGAUGGCAAGUCGGUCGUGAAAUCCCUCGGCUCAACUGAGGAGCGUCGAUCGAAACUGCCGUUCUUGAGGGUUGCAGAGGAGACUGGAAUUCCCGGUGUAGCGGUGAAAUGUGUAGAGAUCGGGAGGAACACCGGUGGCGAAGGCGGGUCUCUGGGCCGUAACUGACGCUGAGGAGCGAAAGCGUGGGGAGCGAACAGG